UUCUGCUUGCCUGUCUGUCUGUGCCUGGGCAGCUGACUACUUAAACACUGGACUUCAAAGGUUUGGCAACACCAACAAAUCAAUAUGCUACGUGUCUCACUCUGAGAGACAAAUGAGUAACGACUACAUGUUAUUUUAUACUGUGUUAUAUGUUUUAUACCUGGGAAGUUUAUGCUGCACAUGUCCCCCGCUGGAUGGUACUUAAGGGAAGUUAUCAAAUUCUACAGUUUAAUCUCUGGAACAGAUUUACGUGGUGGAACUACAACUCCCAUAAUGCUUUGGACGUUAACAAGAAGCGUUACCUUGGGGUCAAUGAGUUAACUAUGGGGUGCAAUUGGAGCCCUGUCUUUCUUAAAGCCUAUAUUUGGUUACAUUGUGCAAAGUGGCAACAUUAAAAACAUUCCGAAUUAGCUAUUAGAAGUUCCCGAUUGUAAAGUACCCAUUGAUGUGAAGAGAACUAUCACUAACUUACUCUUAUACCGAAGAAAACCGAAAAAUGGGAGGAUUCUUGGACAAGUUCGGAUAGAGCGUUUUAUUUCUUAGAUUCCCAGGAAGUUAGACAUUUAUCUGCAAUCGGGGCCGGGUGUACGCAGGGGCGAGAGGGGCAACCCGUCGUGUGUCGUCAUCUGUCAUGGCCGCAGAGAGGCGGAGAAACGAAGUCGGAGAACAUAUUUAAACCGAAGUUCGACUCUUAAGCUCGGUUUGUCAGUACUGUGAGAAAACUUAAUUACCGAAGAAGCCUGGAUGUUAAAAAAAAGCUGUGAGCUGCUUUUUUGUCGAACACGAGUGAGGCUGGACGCUGGACGCACCUGUGGCGCGACGGUGUCAUCCCUUCAUCCAUGACAUUGUGCACGAUCGCCAAGACAUCGUCCAUGACUGCAACGUGGUCCGUAAUUGGAGAGGCAUUGUUGAGGAAGAGGGAGACGUUGUCCAUGAUCAGACACAUUAUCCAUGACCUGCACAGACAUGUGCAAAAGUUGAUGGUGACAGAGUUCCCCGAUUUUAUGGAAUUGUCCAUGAUCAUAGUUACAUUGUCUGUGAUCACAGAGCUGUAGCCCAUGAUCAGAGACAUCAUCCAUGAUCACAGAGAAUCUUUGUACAGUGAAGAAGUUCUCUGAGACCAGGACAGAUGCCUCCAGGUGUCUCCACUUCGUCCACAACAUCGUUCAUGAACACUGAGACGUCAUCCACGAUCACAGAGACAUGGUCCAUGAUCGGAGAGACAUUGUUGAGGAUGAGGGAGACAUUGUCCACGAUCUGAGACAUUGUCCGUAAUCGCAGAGACCUUGUCAAAGAUGAGAGAGACGUUGUCCAUGAUCAGAGACAUUGUCCCAUGCUUCGUAGAGACCUUGCGAUAGAAUCGGCGGAGACGGGGGUCACCGAUUUGACGGCAUUGCCCGCGAUCAUGGAGACAUUGUCAAUGAUCACAGAGACACCGUCUAUGAUCUCAGAGACAUCGUCCACGAUUACAAACACAUUGUCCAUGAUCGCAGAGAUAUUGUCCAUAAUCUCAGAGACAUUGUCCGCGAUCACAGAGACGUAGUCCACGAUCAGAGAGACGUCGUCCACGAUCGCAGAGAGUCUUUGUACAAUGAAGAAGUUCUUUCAGACUGGGACAGAGACCUCCAGGUGUCUCCACUUCGUCCACAACAUCGUUCAUGAACACUGAGACGUCAUCCACGAUCACAGAGACAUGGUCCAUGAUCGGAGAGACAUUGUUGAGGAUGAGGGAGACAUUGUCCACGAUCGGAGACAUUGUCCGUAAUCGCAGAGACCUUGUCAAAGAUGAGAGAGACGUUGUCCAUGAUCAGAGACAUUGUCCCAUGCUUCGUAGAGACCUUGCGAUAGAAUCGGCGGAGACGGGGGGUCACCGAUUUGACGGCAUUGCCCGCGAUCAUGGAGACAUUGUCAAUGAUCACAGAGACACCGUCUAUGAUCUCAGAGACAUCGUCCACGAUUACAAACACAUUGUCCAUGAUUGCAGAGAUAUUGUCCAUAAUCUCAGAGACCUUGUCCGCGAUCACAGAGACGUAGUCCACGAAUCAGAGAGACAUCGUCCACGAUCGCAGAGAGUCUUUGUACAAUGAAGAAGUUCUUUCAGACUGGGACAGAGGCCUCUAGGAGGAGGAGACAACAGCGGCUGAAGUGGACCUGAAGUGGAUGAAAGAAAAAAGUAUCACAAAGCUGUUAAUUUGAUAAAAGACUUCUACCAGCUAACUGCUGUAAACAGUGCUGGUUUCCUAUUGUUCAAGUGAAAACACGUUUUUUCUCUGCCAACUGUAAUUUUUUUUUUCCCUUUCUUAAACGCCAUCGAGAAUAUUCAACAACUGUAUCACAAGCAGUUAAAUUAUCACAAAGAUGCUUAGUAGACAUAUUCAUCUUUGGAAAAUGUCACUACCUUAACUAACCAACUCCAACAAGUGUUUCCUCUGAAAUAUCUGUCUUUAUCUUUGCUGUGAUUUGUUAAGUGUUGUCUGGAAUAAAAUUGAGUUACAUUUCUCCAUUUUGUAACCAAAGUUAUACAAAUUUGUUUUAAUUUUCAGAACUACUUUUACAAAUACUUUUAAAAGGUUUUACACUCAUUGUUCAGACAUAGUUUUUAGAUUUUUAAAUUAAUUUCAAAAAGUGUCAUAUUUAUGUUAUAUUUUAGUUAUAUAUACUUUUAAAAUCUGUGUAAAGCAGUUAUACUGAUGACAUUCUGAGUUAUCAA